rnacentral:lncRNA from 1 species
UCCUACUAUUAUCACAUAACUUUUCUUAAAAUUUCGUGUACAAAAAGUACACUGUCAGACCAUUCUGCUAACUCGCGCCGCGGCGCCACAGUUUACACUGUGGGUCGCGCUGCGGCGUGGGCAUGGCGCUGCGGCGCGGAGAUCAAGGCUACAAAGCCGCGCUGCGGCGCCACAAAGGUACUGCAAGUCCACGCCGCGGCGCCGAAUUGCAGACCUCGGCAGACAGCCUCGACA